GAGAGGGGGCGAGAGAAAAUAAGAAGAUAACUGUGGACGAGUGUUUGAGUGGCACGGUGCGAAAUAGCACUGUACAGAAAAAAAAAAAAGAAGAAGAAACGGAGAGAUUACAGGAGAUGACACAUUGGAGAUGGACAGCAAAAAAAUAGAGCGAGAGACACCGAGUGAAAAGGAAUGGAGAGAGGGAGUGUGUGAGCUUCAGACAGAGCGGCGCUGCCUCAGCCUUGGGGCCUGUCUGGGUGCAGAGCCUAAUUAAAAAGCCUUGCACAUUCACACAGUGCCAUAAAACCGCUGGGAGAGAUGAAAGAGAAGGCCCCGCCACAAGGUAUACUGUAACCUUAACACAACAGCUGUCAGAGAGAUGGGAAGAGAUAGAGAAUGCAACGAGAAAGAGGGGGCAGACAGUGGAUGGGAACGAGAGGCGCUCCGAGGAGGAUGUGCUUGUUUCAGGCAUGAACAGAUUGACGACUCAGAUUCCAAGGGCUUAAGAAACAAAACUGCGUUCCUGACAAGAAGAGAGGGAGGGGUUGUGGAGAGGAGACAGGUUGGCUGCAGGAGCGAAAUAAAAGAAUGUACAGUA